GCUUACGGCCAUAUCACGUUAAAAGCACCGGUUCUCGUCCGAUCACCGAAGUUAAGCAACAUCGAGCCUAGUUAGUACUUAGAUGGGUGACCGCUUGGGAAACCUAGGUGCUGUAAGCA
rnacentral:rRNA from 1 species